GUGUCGGGGACCUGACUGCGGGAGCUGCCGGGCUCGGGGACCCCCUCCCCCACCGCGCGGGCGGGCGGGCGCUGCGAGCCGGCUCCGUGCCCGGGACCCUGCCAGCAGAGGAGACAGGUAUAUGCUGGUCACUUUCGAAGAGCCGCCCUAUGCUAUCAAGGCUGGAUGGAAAGAAAACCAUGCAACGUUUAUGAAUGAACUGAAAAACCUUCAGGCUGAAGGACUUACGACUCUUGGCCAAUCCCUAAGGACAGCUUUUGAUUUAUUAAAUUUAAAUAGAUUAGUAACUGGCAUAGACAACUAUGGGCAGGGAAGAAACCCUUUUUUCUUGGAGCCAGCAAUAAUUAUCACAAUUACUGAUGGGAGCAAGUUGACUACCACCAGUGGAGUCCAGGAUGAGAUGGGCAGCCAGAUAUAUCAAGGCCUUUUGGAUCUCAGCCUUGGCAUAGCUGUCACAAACUCAUAUAUGUCAGACCAAAUCCUAAAACUGGGGUUCCUAUAGGUCAUUGGCCUGUUCCAGAGUCUUUUUGGCCAGAUCAAAAUUCGCCAACACUA
rnacentral:sRNA from 1 species